rnacentral:rRNA from 1 species
CGAGCGGCGAACGGGUGAGUAACACGUGGGUGACCUGCCCCUUACUCUGGGAUAAGCCUGGGAAACUGGGUCUAAUACCGGAUAUGACUUCAUGCUGCAUGGUGUGGGGUUGAAAGUUUUUUCGGUGGGGGAUGGGCCCGCGGCCUAUCAGCUUGUUGGUGGGGUGAUGGCCUACCAAGGCUUCGACGGGUAGCCGGCCUGAGAGGGCGUCCGGCCACACUGGGACUGAGACACGGCCCAA